rnacentral:rRNA from 1 species
CCUACGGGUGGCAGCAGUGGGGAAUAUUGCACAAUGGGGGAAACCCUGAUGCAGCGACGCCGCGUGAGUGAAGAAGUAUUUCGGUACGUAAAGCUCUAUCAGCAGGGAAGAAAAUGCCGGUACCUGACUAAGAAGCCCCGGCUAACUACGUGCCAGCAGCCGCGGUAAUACGUAGGGGGCAAGCGUUAUCCGGAUUUACUGGGUGUAAAGGGAGCGUAGACGGGAGUGCAAGUCUGGAGUGAAAUCCGAUGGCUUAACCACGGAACUGCUUUGGAAACUGUGCAGCUAGAGUGCAGGAGAGGUAAGCGGAAUGCCUAGUGUAGCGGUGAAAUGCGUAGAUAUUAGGAGGAACACCAGUGGCGAAGGCGGCUUACUGGACUGUAACUGACGUUGAGGCUCGAAAGCGUGGGGAGCAAACAGGAUUAGAUACCCGGGUAGUC